UGCUUACCUUGGAAGCAAUAUACUAAAGUUGGAAUGAUGCAAAGUAGACUAGAAUGGCCCCUAUGCUAGGAUGACAGGACAAUUGAUGAAGUGUUCCAUAUUUUA